rnacentral:rRNA from 1 species
UACGAAGGUCCCAAGCGUUAUCCGGAUUUAUUGGGUUUAAAGGGUGCGUAGGCGGGCUAUCAAGUCAGUGGUGAAAUCUCCGAGCCUAACUCGGAAAUUGCCAUUGAUACUGAUGGUCUUGAGUACAUUUGAAGUGGGCGGAAUGUGUCAUGUAGCGGUGAAAUGCUUAGAUAUGACACAGAACACCGAUUGCGUAGGCAGCUCACUAAACUGUAACUGACGCUGAGGCACGAAAGCGUGGGGAGCAAACAGG